UGGAUCCAGACUUUGAUCAUGGCUCAGGACGAACGCUGGCGGCGCGCCUAACACAUGCAAGUCGAACGAGCGAGAGAGAGCUUGCUUUCUUGAGCGAGUGGCGAACGGGUGAGUAACGCGUGAGGAACCUGCCUCAAAGAGGGGGACAACAGUUGGAAACGACUGCUAAUACCGCAUAAGCCCACGGCUCGGCAUCGAGCAGAGGGAAAAGGAGCAAUCCGCUUUGAGAUGGCCUCGCGUCCGAUUAGCUAGUUGGUGAGGUAAUGGCCCACCAAGGCGACGAUCGGUAGCCGGACUGAGAGGUUGAACGGCCACAUUGGGACUGAGACACGGCCCAGACUCCUACGGGAGGCAGCAGUGGGGAAUAUUGCACAAUGGGGGAAACCCUGAUGCAGCGACGCCGCGUGGAGGAAGAAGGUCUUCGGAUUGUAAACUCCUGUUGUUGAGGAAGAUAAUGACGGUACUCAACAAGGAAGUGACGGCUAACUACGUGCCAGCAGCCGCGGUAAAACGUAGGUCACAAGCGUUGUCCGGAAUUACUGGGUGUAAAGGGAGCGCAGGCGGGAAGACAAGUUGGAAGUGAAAUCCAUGGGCUCAACCCAUGAACUGCUUUCAAAACUGUUUUUCUUGAGUAGUGCAGAGGUAGGCGGAAUUCCCGGUGUAGCGGUGGAAUGCGUAGAUAUCGGGAGGAACACCAGUGGCGAAGGCGGCCUACUGGGCACCAACUGACGCUGAGGCUCGAAAGUGUGGGUAGCAAACGGGAUUAGAUACCCUGGUAGUCCACACUGUAAACGAUGAUUACUAGGUGUUGGAGGAUUGACCCCUUCAGUGCCGCAGUUAACACAAUAAGUAAUCCACCUGGGGAGUACGACCGCAAGGUUGCAACUCAAAGGAAUUGACGGA
rnacentral:rRNA from 1 species